GACGUAGGGUCCAAGCGUUGUCCGGAUUUACUGGGCGUAAAGAGCACGUAGGCGGCUUGUUAAGUGUGAAGUGAAAUCUCCAGGGCUCAACCCGGAAACCGCUUCGCAUACUGGCAAGCUAGAGGAAUGCAGAGGUAAGUGGAAUUCCUGGUGUAGCGGUGAAAUGCAUAGAUAUCAGGAGGAACACCCAUGGCGAAGGCAGCUUACUGGGCAUUAUCUGACGCUGAGGUGCGAAAGCGUGGGGAGCAAACAGG
rnacentral:rRNA from 3 species